rnacentral:tRNA from 1 species
AUGGGUGUAAUUCAGUAGGUAGAAUGCUAGGUUUGGGACCUAGUUGUCGCCAGUUCGAGUCUGGCUACCCAUA